AAGUAAUUAACCCAGAAUUGCAAAUUCUGAACUUCCUUCCGCAGUAA
rnacentral:tRNA from 1 species